UACGGAGGGUGCAAGCGUUAUCCGGAUUCACUGGGUUUAAAGGGCGUGUAGGCGGAUAUUUAAGUCCGAGGUGAAAUCUCUGAGCUCACUCAGAAACUGCCUUGGAUACUAUUUAUCUUGAAUAUCGUUGAGGUAGGCGGAAUAUGUCAUGUAGCGGUGAAAUGCUUAGAUAUGACAUAGAACACCGAUUGCGAAGGCAGCUUGCUAAACGAUUAUUGACGCUGAGGCACGAAAGCGUGGGGAUCAAACAGG
rnacentral:rRNA from 1 species